UUAUUGUUUUCUUUUUUCUUCUUUCCAAUAUAUAUUCUGUUUUGAACUAUGUACAUAAACAUAUCUCCUCAAAUCCUUUCCUC
ensembl:ncRNA B0563.12 ncRNA